rnacentral:rRNA from 1 species
UGGGGGAUAUUGCACAAUGGGCGAAAGCCUGAUGCAGCGACGCCGCGUGGGGGAUGAAGGCUUUCGGGUUGUAAACCUCUUUCGCUAUCGAACAAGGCCCGCUUAGGGUGGGUUGAGGGUAGGUGGAGAAGAAGCGCCGGCUAACUACGUGCCAGCAGCCGCGGUAAUACGUAGGGCGCGAGCGUUGUCCGGAAUUAUUGGGCGUAAAGGGCUUGUAGGCGGCUUGUUGCGCCUGCUGUGAAAACGCGGGGCUUAACUUCGCGCGUGCAGUGGGUACGGGCAGGCUUGAGUGUGGUCGCGGUGACUGGAAUUCCAGGUGUAGCGGUGGAAUGCGCAGAUAUCUGGAGGAACACCGAUGGCGAAGGCAGGUCACUGGGCCAUUACUGACGCUGAGGAGCGAAAGCAUGGGUAGCGAACAGG